UGGCUUUAUUGUCUGUUGCAGCAGUUUGGGCUUUUAAGACCAGAGUGGUGAAAUCCAGAGACAAGGACCGAUCGUGAGGAUGCUUCCUCCUGAGGAGACGAGAAGCAGCUUCCUGUUCUUCAUCUUGAGGGUUUUAUCAGAGGAUUCAGCCUGCUCCAGGUAUCUGUGGUCUCCAUGGCAACGCAGCUCCGAGAGCUCGACGGGCCUUCAACGGUUAUAGAAAUAAAACUAUUUGAAAAUUUGAGGAGCUACUGGACUCCUCCUCCUCUGGCUGAAGGCAGGUUCCUCUCCUCGUGGCUCUUCUCUCGGCCUCCCUGAGACGAGUCGUGCGUCUGACCGGCCGUUACUAAGGGAGACUGUUCUUCAUCCGCACGAGUCUCCUGCAGGCCGACGUCGACAAAUGGAAGUAUGAAAAUAAAGAAUACAAGAACACGUAUAAAUAUAAUAUAUAUAACGCCUGUUUAAAGGCCAGACGGAUCCAUUUAGGUACAAAUAAAGAACACGCUAAGUGGGUGUUAAGAGUG